AUUGAACGCUGGCGGCAUGCCUUACACAUGCAAGUCGAACGGUAACGAGCCUUCGGGUGCCGACGAGUGGCGAACGGGUGAGUAAUACAUCGGAACGUGCCCGAUCGUGGGGGAUAACGAGGCGAAAGCUUUGCUAAUACCGCAUACGAUCUACGGAUGAAAGCAGGGGACCGCAAGGCCUUGCGCGGACGGAGCGGCCGAUGGCAGAUUAGGUAGUUGGUGGGAUAAAAGCUUACCAAGCCGACGAUCUGUAGCUGGUCUGAGAGGAUGAUCAGCCACACUGGGACUGAGACACGGCCCAGACUCCUACGGGAGGCAGCAGUGGGGAAUUUUGGACAAUGGGCGCAAGCCUGAUCCAGCCAUGCCGCGUGCAGGAUGAAGGCCUUCGGGUUGUAAACUGUUUUUGUACGGAACGAAAAGCCUUCUUUUAAUACAGGAGGGUCAUGACGGUACCGUAAGAAUAAGCACCGGCUAACUACGUG
rnacentral:rRNA from 1 species